CUGGCACCAGCAGCCAGUGAGGGGAGGGAGUGGGCCUGUCCCGCCAUCGGAAGUGGUGUGGAGCCCACGCAGCUUCACUGUCCACAGGCCAAGAAGCCCUACGGGGCCCACCAGCUGGGUGUUCCUUGAAAAUGACCACAAGCCAUGGGGCCUUCUGAACAGGCGGCCUGUCCUGAGCGGUUCCUCCAGAACCUUCUGUGCUUCCACAUCAGGAAACAGUUCCAGCCAGACCACUGACCCACUGCCCCAGAGCAGCCGGCGAACACGGAGUUGGUGGGAAUCGGGGCGCUGACGGCUGACCCGGGCAGCGUGACCUCGGGCGGUGCUUUUCAAGUCUCGGAAGCAGGACGUGAGCAUCCCUUCUGUGUUUGCGCCUCGUCAUACAUCCAGGGGAGAGGUGCUUGUCCCUGCGGAUUAAUUCCCAGAGAAAAUACUGCAAUUCAGAAGCACAGGCUUAAGUCCCUUUUCCCUAUUUACAAAUUAAAAAGGCACCGAGACACCCUAACUGCAUUUCCUGGUAACUUAUUCAGAGCUGUUACAACUGUCUGCACGCACUGCCGCAGGAUCCAGACAGUGCCAGGGCGCUGAGCAGGACGGCCCCUCAGGGUCCUCAGUGGGGUCUUUUCUGCACACCUCUGAAUGUUCCAGGUCCCCUGAGACUCAGGAACGGCGGCCGUCUCCCUCAUCAUGGUGAGAAUGUGUAAUUACUGAACUGCGUGGAUCGAGCACUAUUUUGGAAACUGUUAACACCACAAUUGCAAUGGUCUCGUAGCCCCUGUGUGUGUGUGUGUGUGUAUUAAUUAUAUCUCUCAACAGCUGCUGCUGAUGCAAGGACUGCCAGUUUUUCUCUUCUCUCUCUCCCAGGAGACGCAGUCUUGCCUGACCCAGCAGAAGUUGAUCACAAGUCCAUUUGGGGCUUUCCCAGGCAGGCGGUGGGUCCCUGCUCCACCGCCACUGCCGUGCCCACCGCCCCUCAGGUAGAGCUGAAGUGCUGGGGCCCACUGUGACCCCCUACUGAGGGAGACCCUGUGGCUCCAGGGGAGGCAAUGCCCCUGCCCUCUUCUGAGAGGGAGAGAGAUGACUGUGGGUCUGGGGAGGAGGCAGAGAGGGGCAUGGGCCUCAGCAUGUGGCUGGUGCCCUUCGUGCGGGCCUUUCAUCGCCCAGCUCUGCUUGUCCUGAGCAGAGGACAGAAGAGGGCAGGUGAGGCACCCCCUCUUCACCUCUGGCCGGGGGUGCCACCCACCAGCUCUGAUGGCCCUCCUGGGGCGAUGGCACUGCUGCCCAUCUGUGGCCUUUUGGGAACCAGGGAUCCCUUUUCCACCUUUUUUAUAAAUGAGGAGCCAAACGAGGUUCUGGAAAGCAGAGAUUUGCCUAAACCUCCAGGGAAGAGUCAGGGCUUGGCUCUGACUGAGGCUUGUCCGCCCCCAGCGGUCCUGAAGCAGAGAGCUGGGACCUGAAGGAGGGGACCGCCAACAGGAGUCUGCCUGAGCCACCACUUCCUCUAACCAGGUGGGUCCCUGCCUUUUGCUUGGACAGCAGCUGUGAUAUGUGACACAGACCUGGGUCAGGUGCCUCCCUGAUGGCUAACGGCAGCCCUGCAGUGACACUUCCUGGAGCACUGUUAGUGGGGUUAAACCGAAACACUCAAGAGCGUGUCAAUGAGUCUCAGACGCUGCACACAGAAGCACGGGUGGAUCCCAGGCUCUGUGCACAGCAGCACGGGUGGAUCGCAGGCUCUGUGCACAGAAGCACGAGGGGAUCCCAGGCUCUGUGCACAGCAGCAUGGGUGGAUCCCAGUCUCUGCACGGAACCACUGGUGGGCCUCAGGCUCUGUACACAGAAGCACAGGUGGAUCCCAGGACUUUGCACAGAAACACGGGUGGGCCUCUGGCUCUGUGCACAGAAGCAUGGGUGGAUCCCAGAACUGUGCACACAAGCAUGGGUGGAUCCCAGGCUCUGUGCACAGAAGCAUGGGCAGGCCUCAGGCUCUGUACACCGAAG
rnacentral:lncRNA from 1 species